rnacentral:rRNA from 1 species
UUGGGAGACUUGAUCUCUUAGUGGCGCAGUUAACGCGAUAAGUAGACCGCCUGGGGAGUACGGCCGCAAGGUUAAAACUCAAAUGAGUUGACGGGGGCCCGCACAAGCGGUGGAGCAUGUGGUUUAAUUCGACGCAACGCGAAGAACCUUACCAGGUCUUGACAUCCUAGAAACUUAGCAGAGAUGCUUUGGUGCCUUCGGGAAUCUAGUGACAGGUGCUGCAUGGCUGUCGUCAGCUCGUGUCGUGAGAUGUUGGGUUAAGUCCCGUAACGAGCGCAACCCUUGUCCUUAGUUGCCAGCACGUAAUGGUGGGAACUCUAAGGAGACUGCCGGUGACAAACCGGAGGAAGGUGGGGACGACGUCAAGUCAUCAUGGCCCUUACGACCUGGGCUACACACGUGCUACAAUGGCCAGUACAGAGGGCUGCAAGCCCGCGAGGGGGAGCUAAUCUCACAAAGCUGGUCGUAGUCCGGAUCGCAGUCUGCAACUCGACUGCGUGAAGUUGGAAUCGCUAGUAAUCGUGAAUCAGAAUGUCACGGUGAAUACGUUCCCGGGCCUUGUACACACCGCCCGUCACACCAUGGGAGUAGGUUGCAAAAGAAGUAGCUAGGCUAACCUUCGGGAGGCCGGUUACCACUUUGUGAUUUAUGACUGGGGUG